rnacentral:rRNA from 1 species
UACGUAGGGUGCGAGCGUUAAUCGGAAUUACUGGGCGUAAAGCGUGCGCAGGCGGUGAUGUAAGACAGUUGUGAAAUCCCCGGGCUCAACCUGGGAACUGCAUCUGUGACUGCAUCGCUGGAGUGCGGCAGAGGGGGAUGGAAUUCCUGGUGUAGCAGUGAAAUGCGUAGAUAUCAGGAGGAACACCGAUGGCGAAGGCAGGUCUCUGGGCUGACACUGACGCUCAUGCACGAAAGCGUGGGGAGCAAACAGG